rnacentral:rRNA from 1 species
GGGGGCACCCUGAUCAGCCAUGCCGCGUGAGUGAAGAAGGCCUUCGGGUUGUAAAGCUCUUUCGGCCGGGAAGAAAACGCACUCUCUAACAUAGGGUGUGGAUGACGGUACCGGAAGAAGAAGCACCGGCUAACUACGUGCCAGCAGCCGCGGUAAUACGUAGGGUGCGAGCGUUAAUCGGAAUUACUGGGCGUAAAGGGUGCGCAGGCGGUUUUGUAAGACAGAUGUGAAAUCCCCGGGCUUAACCUGGGAACUGCGUUUGUGACUGCAAGGCUAGAGUACGGCAGAGGGGGGUGGAAUUCCGCGUGUAGCAGUGAAAUGCGUAGAUAUGCGGAGGAACACCGAUGGCGAAGGCAACCCCCUGGGCCUGUACUGACGCUCAUGCACGAAAGCGUGGGGAGCAAACAGGAUUAGAUACCCUGGUAGUCCACGCCCUAAACGAUGUCAACUAGUCGUUCGGAGCAGCAAUGCACUGAGUGACGCAGCUAACGCGUGAAGUUGACCGCCUGGGGAGUACGGCCGCAAGGUUA